rnacentral:rRNA from 1 species
UGAACGCUGGCGGUAUGCUUAACACAUGCAAGUCGAACGGUAACAGCAGAAGCUUGCUUCUGGCUGACGAGUGGCGGACGGGUGAGUAACGCGUAGGAAUCUGCCUGAUAGCGGGGGACAACUUGGGGAAACCCAAGCUAAUACCGCAUACGCCCUACGGGGGAAAGCGGGGGCCUUUUGGCCUCGCACUAUCAGAUGAGCCUGCGUCGGAUUAGCUAGUUGGUAGGGUAAAAGCCUACCAAGGCCACGAUCCGUAGCUGUUCUGAGAGGAAGAUCAGCCACACUGGGACUGAGACACGGCCCAGACUCCUACGGGAGGCAGCAGUGGGGAAUAUUGGACAAUGGGGGCAACCCUGAUCCAGCAAUACCGCGUGUGUGAAGAAGGCCUGCGGGUUGUAAAGCACUUUCAAUUGGGAAGAAAAGGUUGAGGUUAAUACCCUUGAUUCUUGACGUUACCAUUAGAAGAAGCACCGGCUAACUCC